rnacentral:rRNA from 1 species
CUGACGGGUGAGUAACACGUGGAUAACCUACCUAUAAGACUGGGAUAACUUCGGGAAACCGGAGCUAAUACCGGAUAAUAUUUUGAACCGCAUGGUUCAAAAGUGAAAGACGGUCUUGCUGUCACUUAUAGAUGGAUCCGCGCUGCAUUAGCUAGUUGGUAAGGUAACGGCUUACCAAGGCAACGAUGCAUAGCCGACCUGAGAGGGUGAUCGGCCACACUGGAACUGAGACACGGUCCAG